CGCUUACUGUAGAAGCUCGGAUGGAGAUCGGUUGCCGUGGAAGCCCGGAUGGAGAUCGCUUAUUGUAGAAGCUCGAAUGGAGACUGGUUGCCGUGAAAGCUCGGAUGGAGAUCGCUUAUUAUAGAAGCUCAGCUGAAGUCCACUUGCAAUAGAAGUUCGGAUGGAAUUUGCUUAUUGUAGAAGCUCGGAUGAAAUUUGGAAGGCGGUUGACCACUGUAGAAACUUAGAUGAAGUCUGGUUACUGUAGAAGUCCUAUUGCUGGAGAAGCCCGGACAUUGACGAAGUCCGGAAGAAGCUCGGAGUAAAGUCGAUCGUGAUGGG
rnacentral:lncRNA from 1 species